rnacentral:rRNA from 1 species
UGGGGAAUUUUGGACAAUGGGCGAAAGCCUGAUCCAGCAAUGCCGCGUGUGUGAAGAAGGCCCUCGGGUUGUAAAGCACUUUUGUCCGGAAAGAAAUCCUUGGCUCUAAUACAGUCGGGGGAUGACGGUACCGGAAGAAUAAGCACCGGCUAACUACGUGCCAGCAGCCGCGGUAAUACGUAGGGUGCAAGCGUUAAUCGGAAUUACUGGGCGUAAAGCGUGCGCAGGCGGUUUGCUAAGACCGAUGUGAAAUCCCCGGGCUCAACCUGGGAACUGCAUUGGUGACUGGCAGGCUAGAGUAUGGCAGAGGGGGGUAGAAUUCCACGUGUAGCAGUGAAAUGCGUAGAGAUGUGGAGGAAUACCGAUGGCGAAGGCAGCCCCCUGGGCCAAUACUGACGCUCAUGCACGAAAGCGUGGGGAGCAAACAGGAUUAGAUACCCUGGUAGUCCACGCCCUAAACGAUGUCAACUAGUUGUUGGGGAUUCAUUUCCUUAGUAACGUAGCUAACGCGUGAAGUUGACCGCCUGGGGAGUACGGUCGCAAGAUUAAAACUCAAUGAAUUGACGGGGUCAUAGCUGUUUCCU